rnacentral:rRNA from 1 species
AAAUUGAAGAGUUUGAUCAUGGCUCAGAUUGAACGCUGGCGGCAGGCCUAACACAUGCAAGUCGAACGGUAACAGAAAGCAGCUUGCUGCUUUGCUGACGAGUGGCGGACGGGUGAGUAAUGUCUGGGAAACUGCCUGAUGGAGGGGGAUAACUACUGGAAACGGUAGCUAAUACCGCAUAACGUCGCAAGACCAAAGAGGGGGACCUUCGGGCCUCUUGCCAUCGGAUGUGCCCAGAUGGGAUUAGCUAGUAGGUGGGGUAAAGGCUCACC